UUUCCCUCAGCUUUUCCAUUUUUCCUCCAAUUUCCCCUCAGCUUUUCCAUUAUUUUCCCCUCAGCUUUUCCCUCCAAUUUUCCAUUUUCCCUUUAAUUUUCCCCUCAGCUUUUCCAUGCUUUUCCAUUAUUUUCCCUCAGAUUUUUUGUUUUUUCCCCUUUUUUCCUCUCAAUUUUUUCCCUUUUUCUCUCAGUCUUUUCUUUCCUCCCCCCCCAAAUUUCCCUCACUUUUUCCCCAAUCCCUUUUUCCCCUCAAAUUUCCCGAUUUUUCCCCUUAUUUUCCUUUUUCUCUCAGAUUUUUCCUUUUUUCUCCCUUUUUCCCCUCAAAUUUUCCUUUUUUUUCCCCCUCUUUUUCCCCCAAAUUCAUUUUCCCCCAUUUUCCCCCCUUUCUGCCCAUUUCCUCCCCAACUCUCCCCCUCAUUCCCUGAUUUUUGCCCAUUUUCCCCCAUAUUUCCCCCUCAACUCCCGGAAAUGUUAAAAAAUAAAGGUUUUUUUUGCCUGUUUUUGUGCUUUUUU
rnacentral:lncRNA from 1 species